rnacentral:snRNA from 1 species
AAACUAACCUGGCUGGGAGGCAUCUCGCGAUCAUGAAGGCGGGACCUCCAUGGCGAGGUUUGGCCAUUGCACUUUCGGCCAGGCUGACCCGUGUGGCAGUCCCGAGUUGGGAUUGGCCAACAGCAUAAUUUUUGCGUUUGGGGACAGCGUUCGCGCUUCCCCGCCC